AAGAUUCUCUUAGAAGAAUAAGGAUUAGAUGUCAACAUAUCAAGCAACAAUGAAAUCAUAGCUAAGCUUCAGAUCUGAAACAAUGUCAAUCUAUAGCAACUUCACAUUAGAUAAUAUUCAAAAUGGAAUCCUUCUUGCCUUUAAAAGGCUUAAACUAAACUGCAAAAGAUCUACUUUCAAUAAAUCACAUGUCGCAUCUCAAAAUUACAAGCCUCAGUCCCACUGCCAAAACCAUGAUCAUCAUUAUAAGCUAUUCACAGUGGAAUAAACAUGUAAAGCAUAGCUACGAGUACUUCCAUGACCAAAAAUGUACCAAGAAUAAGUGCCACGAGAAAUGAACAACGAGAUCUGAAUUCUCCAAGAAAUAUGUGGGGAGGAAAUGGAAACCAAUUCCGUUCUUAUGUUAGUCUUGUGGAGUGUAGUUGAUAUGAAUACCACUAGAGGAACCUGCAAAAAGUUCAGUCAUUAGAAAAACAUCUCUGAUCUUGUAAUCUCAGAUAUAUACAGAAAACCAUUAAUAUUACAGUCUUAAAAGUUUCAUCCAUCGCCUCUGAUUGACAUGGCGGAUCCUAUACAGUAUAAUGCUGAAAAGUGCAAUAAACAAAAUAGAGUAAAAUUCAAAAAACCACAUGUGGUUUACCCAAAUUCUUGAGUCACCGCUUGUGGUUCAGAAACUAUAGAUUCACCACUAGUGGUUUGACAUCCAUCAUCAAGUUACCUCAUUUUCAUCCAUUUUGACAGCAAGUGUACUCCAUUCGCCAAAAAGCAAGUGAAAUUUCUCUUAACAAUGAUGUAUGUUUAAAUGACAAUAACAUCCUCAAAUCUCCCUCAAAUUUAAUAAAGCAUACCCUCAUUGACCCAUAACCAAAAAUAUAAACCCCAAGACAAUCCUAAAAUCUAAACACUAACCCAUAAAACAAAUCCAAACAUUUCAACUAUUAUUUACAAGCAAUAUUCAUCCCCUCACUAUUUUACAUCCAAAACCCAUCUUCAAAAACUUUACUUUUGUGUGGCGGCCAGUGGAUAGCUUUAAAGGGAUAGGAUAGGGUUAGAGUAGGGUGUAAUGCAAUUUGAUCCAAUUAAAAUCUAUUUUGAAAUCAUCCUUUUUUUCCCUUCAAUAUUCUUGAUGAUCUACUAUUUUAACACUCAUCUAUUACUUAUCCUUUUCACACACAUUUCACUUUAAUGCAAUUUAAUUAUACUUUUACAUUAGUUUGACUAUAAUUUAAAUUUAAAUUUAAUGCAAUUCAAUUUUAAUUUAGUUUUUUAAUAUUAAAUUUUGUUUAUUAUUUCCUUAUUUAUUUAUUGUACAUAAAUUAAAUUUAGUUAGUGUUAAUAGAAUUUAAUUUUAAUGUUAUAUUGCAAUUAUUAAAUUUAUAUGUUUUUUAGGAUUGAGAUUUUAAAAAGAAAAAAAAUAUAAUAAAAAAAGCUAUUUAGGAAAAAUAAGAUAUGAAGGGCAUAAUAGUCUUUCACCAUAAAACUAACGGUGUUAGACCAAAAUCAAUAAUAGGUGUCGAUGUGAUGCUUGAAGGCAAACGACAGAUGGUGAAUCGAUAGUUUCCGAACCAUAGGUGGUGACUCAAAAAUUUGGGUAAACCAUACCAUUUUUUUUUUUUUGAAUUUUACUCAACAAAAUAACUAGUUUAUGUUUCAAUGCUAUUUAAACAAGUACACUUUUAAAUAUAUAUGGUCCAAUAACCCUGACCAACUCAUAAAUCUCUGUUAACAUGGUUGCACAUUGAUGAUUUUCCACUAACCAUUCUACAAAUAAAGAGUGCAGCCACAAAGGAGGCCAAAAAUCUUAAAGCAAAUACUCUAUAAAGACCAUGGCAAAAGUACUAAAAGAGAGAAAAAUAACACAAAUUUGUUCAACCUAGUAGCAAUGAAGCCUUAACUGAAAAAGAAAAGCACAAGGGCUUGCCACAUCAAAAGAUCACACAUUUUAACAUGACAAGUUAUUCACCAAUAAGGCAUUUCAUUAAAUUGCUAGUAUGUUUUCUGUCCUAAACAACAUGGAAAUGCAAAUCGUUUGCACCAAUUUAUAACCCCUCAACACUCACCAGAGACGGCAGCAAGUAAAUAAAAGCGUCCUAAAGCAAUAAAUCUCAUGUUACUAAUAAUAAAUAGAUAAAUAUAUAAAUCCCAUGUACAGAACUUAGAGUCAACUCAAAAAUACUAAUAGAUAUGGUGACAUUUAAAUAAUUACCUAGAAUUUAAAUACAAACUAAUACACCCCCCAAGCGGGCUAAAGCCUCUGGAUUAUUCAGAAGGGUAGACCCCAAGUUCUAGCACCUCUAUUUGUGAAGUUAUAAUCUUCACAAUCUCGUCUCCUGAGAAUAAGAUUUUUGUACAAAUAUGUGAUAAUCCCAACAAUAUACAGAUCCCGUUUUUACAUAAUCCAAGUCCAAUGCCAUUCUUUAUAUCUGGUUAAGCCAUACAGAUUUCAACUGGCUCUAGUUUAGCUAUUGAUCUACCAUAUAUGCAUACUAUUAGAAAUGCUACAAGAUAACCAAUUUGUCUUGCUCUAAUUUUAAUAUUUUAUGGCACAUACUGCUGCAUAACCAAUUUAUUGUAGAUAAACUUCACUUAGAUAGUUUUGUAGUNNNNNNNNNNNNNNNNNNNNNNNNNNNNNNNNNNNNNNNNNNNNNNNNNNNNNNNNNNNNNNNNNNNNNNNNNNNNNNNNNNNNNNNNNNNNNNNNNNNNUGCAGAAAACCAUUAAUAUUACAAGUCUUAAAAGUUUCAUCCAUCGCCUCUGAUACGGCGGAUUCUAUACAGUAUAAUGCUGAAAAAGUGCAACAAACAAAAUAGAGUAAAAUUCAAAAAACCACAUGUGGUUUACCCAAAUUCUUGAGUCACCACUUGUGGUUCAGAAACUAUCGAUUCACCACUAGUGGUUUGACAUCCAUCAUCAAGUUACCUCAUUUCCAUCCAUUUUGACAGCAAGUGUACUCCAUUCGCCAAAAAUCGAGUGAAAUUUUGUUUAACAAUGAUGUAUUGAUGUAUGUUUAAAUGACAAUAAUAUCCUCAAAUCUCCCUCAAAUUUAAUAAAGCAUACCCUCAUUGACCCAUAACCAAAAAUAUAAACCCUAAGACAAUCCUAAAAUCUAAACACUAACCCAUAAAACAAAUCCAAACAUUUCAACUAUUAUUUACAAGCAAUAUUCAUCCCCACUAUUUUACAUCCAAAACCCAUCUAAACUCAUCAUCAACAUCAUCCGCCACCACUGCACACCAUCACAGUCCCACCAUUUCUGCCACUAAAGAAAGUCUAACCAUUUCACAAUAGACCUCUGUACUAUUUACACACAAACUCCAGAUAACAAUUCAGCCUCCCAAUUUUCAGAACUAUUAAGAAAAUCAACCAAAAAGAGAUGAAGCAAAAAAAAAACAAAAAACAGACCAUCAAACACAUCCGAGUCUGUUCAUAUUUAUUACUAUCUUUCUCUGUACGCACACUGAAAUUUUUGCAAGAUUAAUUUCAACAAUUUCUUAACGCCAAGUCGCCCGCACCAACAACCACCUCUACGAGUGCCCAACACGAGAAUUCCAUUGUUAGUGUCGUGGCUCUUGCACAUGUCCACACCCGAAGACGGUCACGAUGACGAGUACCUCGGGCUCUUGUCAAUCGACAGGAAUGAGCCGAAUUUGUGCCUGCUAAACAUUUCUCUAGGUAUCCAUUUUGUGUUCAUAUGCACUCUGAAUUUGCAAGUGAUAUGGGUUAUGUGGGACUUGACUGUGGCUUCUUCAAAAGCUUUACUUUUGUGUGGCGGCCAGUGGAUAGCUUUGAAGGGAUAGGAUAGGGUUAGAGUAGGG
rnacentral:lncRNA from 1 species